CCCCACACGUCAUGGACCUCAGGGCACUCUCCUCCCUGCCCACAAAGACCUCCUGGGUGGGAAAGACUCAAAGGGGCGCUUGGGCCACUCAGGACCCCUCCGGCUGUGUCGGACUGGGGAGGGAUAUGAUGGAGAGCCAGCCAGUGGGGCUGUCAGCAGUGGGGGGCUUUUUAAAAGAAAACUAUUUUGAUGAAUAUAUUUAAAAAAACUUUUUUUUAUUGUGGAAGAUAGGAAUUGCCCCCCUCCAGGAUUCACCCUCCCUGCCUAAGCAGGGUGGGGACAGAGCCAUGACAUUUUUGGUUUAAAGGAGCCUUCUCAUCUCUGGCUGAGAACACUGUUGGGCUCCCAGGUAGCUGAAGGCCUCAGCCCAUCCACUCCCUUCUUCCCUGUGUGGGGCUCAAGCCUGGUGCACUUAGUAUAGAAGAGCUAACGUACUCAGGCUUGUGCCAUGGGUCAGCACUGAGGCUCCAAGUAUCCUCCCUCCCCCGCUGUCUGGCACACAGGACAGGUGUUGCGUCUGACUCUGUCUCCCCCUGUCCAGGAGCUAUAGGCUGGUUGAGGCAAGUGGAACCUUAUCAGCGACUUGUCCAACAAGGGAAGCCUUGGGGCCUCAGAAUUCAUUGAAGAUUUGUUUUGGGACAACUGGAAGAAUCAGCACCAUGGAUACGCGCCUGUGGGCAGGGCUGUGGUCAGCCAAGAAUAGAGGUCAUAUAGUUGAGCCAUGGGGCAGUUGUUGGCAGCCAUGACUGACGGCCCCUUGUGCAAGCUCAUUCUUCAGUGGAUCCUUCAGUGGAGUGGUGACACGUGCCAGUGGUCACUCUGCCACAUCACUUCCUUCUUGAAAGCCUAAGAGUGCGUAUGCAUGUGUGUGUGUGCGUGAGGCAGGAGAAUAUGACAGAUGUCAGCUUCUCCCUGUGUCAGAUGAUAUGCCCUUGAAGCUGGCAGGGGAUUCCCAGUCCAGGGAAUAUCCCUACAUGAUUUUUGUCAUUCAUGGGUCCUCCCUGGGCCUGACAACAGGAGUGGUGGGUGGGUGAGUACAGGUUCUAAGAGGGGGCUUCUAGGAAGGCCCAAGCCCUAGUCCUAGGUGACUUGAAUAAAGUGGGAGGUCAAACAUGGGCCUUCGGCAUUGGGUUUCUAGGGAAUAUGGCCCAGUAGGGCCUGCCCCUUCAAGGGCAGCAAGAACCAAGCAGGAUGUUGUCACUCCCGUCUGAAUAAAGCUCCAUGAGCUGGGUUGGAAAGCUGAACAUUUAUCUUGCUUUCUUCUUCCCACCUCUUUCCCUGGGGUCCCCAGGGGUGUCUUGCCUUUGCUAACCCCCAUCUGAGACCUGAGGGUCUGGGGGUGGUUGGGCCUGCCUUUCUGCUGUUCCCGGCUGUUCUGCUGCUGACAUCCCUAGGAGUGGUGGAAUGCCAGGCUCCUGUCCUGUGGCCUAGGGGCCUGGGGCAUCAUUGGGCCUGCUUUCAGACUGAGGUUGCUCUAUGUUCUCACUGCCUGAGGACAGUGUCCCGCCACCACCUGCCUGCCUUAGGGCCACACUCAGGCUCGGCUUCUCUUCCCCAGCUGUGGCUUUCCAUGGUACCCUGCUGCUUAUGCCACCUGUGGGGCUGUUCCCCUCCUCAGAGAGGGGAAUGGGGCUGGUCAAAGGACCCAGGGAUCACCCUUCCUUUUACUUUUUUCCCCCCACCCCCCUCUCAGGCUCAGGUGAGAAGCCGAGGCCAGACUGUCCAAAGCUCUUUUCAUGUGUAACAGUCCUGAGUCCCUUGACCUCCCCUUGGCCUGACUCUGGUCUUGGUUCCACUAAGGCAGAGUCCUGUCGUCUCUCCCUACCAUCCCCCACUGGACUUUGUCUCUCAGAAACCCCAGGCAGCCUUGCCUCCUGACCUAACUCCUGGAGAUGCUGGUGUUCUUGGGAGGAAUUUCCCCUGCAUUUUACGUGCUAGAAGCCCCUGGGGCAGGAGGCAGGGGGAGGAAUUGAGAGGAGGAAAAACGCGAACUAGACACCUAGAGAAGAAGGAUGUGACUUGUGGUAUCCUAUGUCUAAAUUAGGAAUAUGAAUCUGGUUUUUCUACAAGAAGCUUGAGAUCACAGCUGACUGUAUUCCUGAUGCAUCCACCAAACCCUUUUCCAUCUGUGGCCCUCCCUGGCUCUGUCACCAGCCCUCGCACCCUCCUGAUCACAGGAGUCACAAACCUCAGACACGCAGCUCCUGUCCACACUUAAUAUAUGCAUGCAUUGGAUCACCCAGCUCUGGUCUUUCUGCCUCCCUGGAUAACUGCAUGACCCUGAGAGGGAACCUCCUUAGAUUUAGCAUCCUAGGUUCCUCAUAUGCCUCACCCUGAAUCCUGGCCCUCCCACAGCCCCAGUGCCAUUUGUCCCAUCAGUGACCAGAUUCAUAUUCUGGUGUAGACUCUGUUGCCGGAGCCAGUGCUGAGCCAGUCCGCCUCUUCCUCGGGAAGUGCCCGCCCUUCCCUCCUGUUAGGGUUGGCUCUCGAGCUUGUGUGCCAGUUCCUGGGUUGGCCGUGAGAGUUCUACAGACAAGGGGGAAGUACUCUCGGUGUAUUUCCUGUGGUGGGUUCACACGCAGCUAGACACAGCUAACUUGAGUCUUGGAGCUCCUAGAGGGGAGCUUCUGGAAAGGAAGGCUCUUCAGGACCUCUUGGGAGCCAGGUAGGAGUCUGGGACUACUAGUGAACCUAGACCUGUGGCUCUGGCCAGAGGGGCUAGGAUGAGAGACGGAGGGCAUUAUGGCGGUUGCUGGGAGAUGCAGCUGACCUUGGGGCUGGUGACUCGGGGGGUGGGGAGCCUGGGAAAGGCCAGGAUGUGGAUGGGCUGGUAUGGCAUUGAGCCUGAACUGGUCCAACUUGGGGUUCCCCAGUGCCUAGGAAAGUUGUCCCCUUGAAUGUCAGUGUGAAGGUGAAGGAGGAAGCAGAUGCCUGUUCAUAUGGAAACAAAGACCUGGCUGUGAAGAGGGGAGGCGGACACCAAAGUCAUGACACUUGGGUGGGACAGAAUUGAUCUGUGAGAGACUCAUCUAGUUCACACCCUAGGUGACCCUGGGGGUGGUAUGGGGGUAGAUUAGAGAUCCCAGACUGGUAUCAUCUGGAGCGUAGGAGUCCCAGGAGCUGAAGGUUUCUAGCCACUGAAGUUUGGCUGAAGCAGGUGUGUCACAGCUGCUCAGGAUUCCCUGGUUAAAAAGUGAAAGUGAAAUAGAGGGUGGGGGCAGUGCUUUCCCAGAAGGAUUGCUCGGCAUCCUGCCCUUCCCAGAAGCAGCUCUGGUGCUGGAGAGAGCACUGCCUCCCUGUGUGACUGGGUGAGUCCAUAUUCUCUCUUUGGGUCUCAAUUUUGCCUUCCCUAAUGAAGGGGUAAGAUUAUACUAGGUAAGCAUCUGAUAACCAUUUGUAGUCAUGAGAGCUGGGGUGGGGAAGGUUUGUCACUUGACCCCCCAGCUCUGUUUCUAAGUGCUGAAAGAGCUCCAGGCUAUGCUACGGGAGGAAAAGCCAGCUACUGAGAAAAAGCGGGAGUGGUUUACCAUUCUCCUCCCCCACCUUUCACCAGAGAAGAGGACGUUGUCACAGAUAAAGAGCCAGGCUCACCAGCUCCUGACGUAUGCAUCAUGACCAUGAGACACAACUGGACACCAGACCUCAGCCCUUUGUGGGUCCUGCUCCUGUGUGUCCACAUCGACACUCUCCUGGUCAGAGCCACACCUGUCUCGCAGACCACCACAGCUGCCACUGCCUCAGUUAGAAGCACAAAGGACCCCUGCCCCUCCCAGCCCCCAGUGUUCCCAGCAGCUAAGCAGUGUCCAGCAUUGGAAGUGACCUGGCCAGAGGUGGAAGUACCACUGAAUGGAACGCUGACCUUAUCCUGUAUGGCCUGCAGCCGAUUCCCCAACUUCAGCAUCCUCUACUGGCUGGGCAAUGGUUCCUUCAUUGAGCACCUCCCAGGCCGGCUGUGGGAGGGGAGAACCAGCCGGGAACAUGGGAGCACAGGUACGCAGCUGUGCAAGGCCUUGGUGCUGGAGCAGCUGACCCCUGCCCUGCACAGCACCAACUUUUCCUGUGUGCUCGUGGACCCUGGACAGGUUGUCCAGCAUCACGUCGUCCUGGCCCAGCUCUGGGCUGGGCUGAGGACAACCUUGCCCCCCACCCAAGAAGCCCUGCCCUCCAGCCACAGCAGCCCACAGCAGCAGGGUUAAGACUCAGCACAGGGCCAGCAGCAGCACGACCUUGACCAGAGCUUGGGUCCUGUCUACCUGGAGUGAACAGUCCCUGACUGCCUGCAGGCUGUGUGGAUGAGCAACACACCCCCUCCUUCUCUGCUUUGGGUCCCUUCUAUCACCAAAUUCAAACUCCAUUGCCACCUACCUAGAAAAUCGCAGCUUCCUUAUAAUGCCGCCGCCUCCUGCCAUUCUCUCUCCACCUACCCAUUAGCCUUCCUAACGUCCUAAUCCUCAAACUGCUCUACUGCUUAGAAACCACCAAGACUGUUGAUGCCUUAGCCUUGCACUCCAGGGCCUUACCUACAUUUCCCACAUGACUUUCUGGACGCCUCCAACUAUUCUUGCUUUUCCCAGACAGCUCCCACUCCCAUGUCUCUGCUCAUUUAGUCCCGUCUUCCUCACCGCCCCAGCAGGGGAACGCUCAAGCCUGGUUGAAAUGCCACCUCUUCAAUGAAGUCAUCCUCUUUCAGCUCUGGCCACAUUCUGCAGACUUCAUGUCUUCAUGCUGCUUCAGUUCCACUCCCAGGAACUUUGCCUGUCCCAGGAGGGAGUAUGGGAGAGAGGGACUGCCACACAGAAGCUAAAGAAAGACAAAACCUGCUUCAGGGGAACACAGGCCCUUGAAAAAGAAAGAAAAGAGAGAACAGCCCAUAAUGCUCUCCGGGAGCAGAGGCCACUAAUGGAGAGUGGGAAGAGCCUGGAAAGAUGUGGCCCCAGGAAAAGGGAUGAGAGAAAGGAGGUGGUCUGGAAUACUCAGCGGGAACAAGGUAGGCUCCAAAGAGCCUUUAUUUCCCCUCUUUUCCCACAUAGAUCAAGGCAACUCAGUACUCACGGGAGAAAAAUAGACUUUAUUUACAAGUAAUAACAUUUAGAAAAGAUCCAUCCCCGGCCCUUAAAAACCUUCCCAUCACUCCAAAUCCCACCCCAGUGCAAGUCUGGGGAAGGUAGGGUGUGAGCUGCCGCUGAAGGCUGUCCCCCCACCCCACUCCUGAGACACAGGGCCCAUCCGUCCUGGGAAAGAGCAUCCUUUGGCAGGUGCUCCCACCAGGUCAGACCCAGUCCUGGACUUCAAGAGUGAGGGCCCCUGCUAGGCCCAGCCACCAGGAGAGCAGGAACCAGGGCCUACUCCUCUUAUGGUCCCUUCUAGAUCCAGAGGCUAAGGAAGACUGGCCAGGCCCAAGGACCCAGCCAUCAAAACCAGCCUCAAAUCUGGUUGUGAUGGAGAAGUGACUUUGCUUUAA